UGGGGAAUAUUGCACAAUGGGCGAAAGCCUGAUGCAGCAACGCCGCGUGAGUGAUGAAGGCCUUCGGGUUGUAAAGCUCUGUCUUUUGGGACGAUAAUGACGGUACCAAAGGAGGAAGCCACGGCUAACUACGUGCCAGCAGCCGCGGUAAUACGUAGGUGGCAAGCGUUGUCCGGAUUUACUGGGCGUAAAGGAUGCGUAGGCGGAUUUUUAAGUGAGAUGUGAAAACCCUAAGCUUAACUUGGGGACUGCAUUUCAUACUGGAAAUCUAGAGUGCGGGAGAGGAGAAUGGAAUUCCUAGUGUAGCGGUGAAAUGCGUAGAGAUUAGGAAGAACACCAGUGGCGAAGGCGAUUCUCUGGACCGUAACUGACGCUGAGGCAUGAAAGCGUGGGUAGCAAACAGGAUUAGAUACCCUGGUAGUCCACGCCGUAAACGGUGAGUACUAGGUGUAGGAGGUAUCGACCCCUUCUGUGCCGCAGUUAACACAAUAAGUACUCCGCCUGGGAAGUACGAUCGCAAGAUUAAAACUUAAAGGAAUUGACGGGGGUCAUAGCUGUUUCCU
rnacentral:rRNA from 1 species